rnacentral:rRNA from 1 species
UACAGGGGGGGGCAAGCGUUGUUCGGAAUUACUGGGCGUAAAGGGCUCGUAGGUGGCCAACUAAGUCGGACGUGAAAAUCCCUCAGCUUAACUGGGGAACUGCAUCCGAUACUGGAUGGCUUGAGUUUGGGAGAGGGAUGCGGAAUUCCAGGUGUAGCGGUGAAAUGCGUAGAUAUCUGGAGGAACACCGGUGGCGAAGGCGGCAUCCUGGACCAACACUGACACUGAGGAGCGAAAGCCAGGGGAGCAAACGGG